CCCUUAAGAACCAGCUGGAGGAACAACAGCUCUUGUGAGGUGUGCUUCCUCUCUCUCUCUCUCUCUCUCUUUCUUUCUUUCUUUCUUUCUUUCUUUCUUUCUUUCUUUCUUUCUUCCUUGGGAUAAACUAAAACAACAUUCGAUUACCUAAAAAGGAUAAAACAGUGGAUUGACGGAUGGGAGGUUGAGGAUCACAUCGGUGUCGGUUGUCAAUACUUUGGCGGUCAUGUAAACUCACUCACUGUUACUGCCCUCCCUGGAAGUGGGAAAUCAGAUCAUACCUAAGAGUCGGCAGCAGCUGUAUCAAAAGUUGGAGCACUCCCCCUGGUUAAACCACAGAGUUUGCUCAUUUUUGUCCGUACAACGUUAGAAAGAUGUCAUUGUCUGCCCGUACAAUUGGCGGUCGUCCUCAGACCAAUAAGCAGGCGCCAGCCCUGCAUCCUUCACAGGGCGUUCACGUGCUCGUGUACCCUUCGGCUGCUGUAUGGCUGUUACUAUUAUUAAACUAAUGACUACGACUUGACUUUCCUAUUUGCAUUUUCUGUGGUGGCAAUUUUUCUAUGACGUGUCUGUCGUUGUCCUCGAUUGGUCCGGCUGGUUAGUGGUUACGACCUUUCUUCCAUUUGAUUUCUCUCUCUUUUUAUUUUGGUUUAAUGUAUGGACAGUGCUACAGUGCCUAUAGUUAUGGUAACGAUAUUAGGGAAACCUGCUAUUAUAGGUUUCUAUUACCUUUAGUGACAGAUCAAAUCUUUUAGUGACUUUUUAAAUAUUAUAUUAAAAUAAUUAAUAUUAACUUUAGUAAGUUUUUAAUUAAAACUAGUAAGUAUAUGCCUGAAAGAUAAGAUUUAGUCAGAAAUAGAAAUUUACACUUUGAGUAAUUUAAUUUACUUAUUAUUUGACAAAAUUUACUUAUGUUUAAAUUAAACUUACCAAUACUGAAAGUAAAAAAUGUACAUAUUUAAGUAAAAAAACGGUUUUGGGUUCCUGAAAACGGUUUUGGGUAUCACCUUUCUCUUUAAAGUUAUCUACCUUCUUCUUAUUCAGUUCCCAGUUCCAAUGAUACGAUUGAAUUCCCAAGCAAAGGUUUCCACUUUGAUCCACACAUUCUCUUUGUUACAAUUGAAUAAAUCUUCUCACUUCAAAAUUUUCAUCUUUAGUUCACACUUUGCUUCUAUCCUUUCUCAUCGUUCGGUUGGGUUUGAGUGCUGCCAUAUGCAAACACAACAAAAGGGUUAGCGACGGUGGUAGCCAGCCAAAGAGCAUAUGAAAAAUAGCAGUGACGAGGCAAAGGUUUCCACUUUGGUCCAUACUUUCUCUUGGUCCAAUUGUUGUUGCUACAAAGGGACAAAAGGCAAAACAGUCCACUCACAAGCGAAAGCGAAGACGAUGCAAAAAUUGCAAGUCAUUUGGACAUGAUAGACGAAAAUGUACUAAAGUGUGCACAGAUGCAUAUGAAACUCACAAUUAUGAUCAUGUUGGGGCACCCAAUAAUAUUGAGAAUGUAAAUUUGAAUCUGAUAGGAUCAUCCGAUGGCCUAUUGCAAUCAGAUUCACAGCAUAGAUGCAAUAAGGAAUUAAUGGAUAGUAAUUGGUUUCAGAUCAUUCCUCCUGGUCAGGCAUUAAUGUGGGCAUGCAAUCCUUCAUUAAUCCAAAGUCAUGUACAAAACACUAGCUUGUUAGGAGAUGAAAAGUAUUCAGUGAAUGAACCAGAUUUCAGCCAAGACCAUUAAGGAAUUUUAUUCUUGAGAGAGUACAAAUGUUUUUGCACGUCUUUGCUCAAAGCUUUUAGGAUGAUUUAAGUUUCUUCGAAGCUUGCUUGGAAAAAAGUUUGGUGAUCAAAUUUCAGAUAUUGUUAGCAUCCAAGUGCUCUUGGGUUUGUAAACCAGAAAUGUCAAUCCAAACUGAAGCUUUUGAUAGUGAUAUCAGAGCCCUUGAUGCUGGUGAUCAAAUUCUCAAAUCAAGUUACUAGCAUUUUGAUUGCUUCAGAUUUCUGAAGCCAAAGUCUUUGUGCUCUAAAUUCAGUUCUUGGCCAUGUAAUCUUGUCAUGCUUAGAUAGCUAUAUCUAGUGUCCUGCCAGCUUAAUUUUGAUGCGUAAGUAUCAAUUAUUAAAAGUUAGAUUCAUUCUGAUGCUCAAAAUGAGCCGUUUUCUCCUAUUUUGAAAUACCAAUUUCAUAUCAAAUGUCUUGUGCAUGUAGAUUUUGCUGUUUACUUCAAAUUGGACUGGCUUACUUGAUGAGCAGAACUCGAAAAGCAACUCAAAUACUCAUGUUAUACAAUACUCAGCACACGGUUUUUUAGGCUUUAAAACGUCAUUAAUGAAAGUUACCCAUUCGGUUGUUUA